rnacentral:rRNA from 1 species
UGGGGAAUAUUGCACAAUGGGCGCAAGCCUGAUGCAGCAACGCCGCGUGAGGGAUGACGGCCUUCGGGUUGUAAACCUCUUUUAGCAGGGAAGAAGCGAAAGUGACGGUACCUGCAGAAAAAGCACCGGCUAACUACGUGCCAGCAGCCGCGGUAAUACGUAGGGUGCAAGCGUUGUCCGGAAUUAUUGGGCGUAAAGAGCUCGUAGGUGGUCUGUUGCGUCUGCUGUGAAAUCCCGAGGCUCAACCUCGGGCCUGCAGUGGGUACGGGCAGACUAGAGUGCGGUAGGGGAGAAUGGAACUCCUGGUGUAGCGGUGGAAUGCGCAGAUAUCAGGAAGAACACCGAUGGCGAAGGUAGUUCUCUGGGCCGUAACUGACGCUGAGGAGCGAAAGCGUGGGGAGCGAACAGGAUUAGAUACCCUGGUAGUCCACGCCGUAAACGUUGGGCGCUAGAUGUGGGGACCAUUCCACGGUUUCCGUGUCGCAGCUAACGCAUUAAGCG